UAUACCUUCAGGUUAUCUGUUUUAUUGUUUUAUUUGUAUUUCAGUUGGGACAUGUGACAAGGAGUGCUGGUAUUGCAUAUAGGCUGUCAUAAUCAUGAGUGACACAAUCAUGUUUGGACUACUUAUGCUUGGAGUAGGAAUAUAUUUGGGAAUGUAUCUUGAUCAAAACUAUCAGAUUCCCAGGGUUGAUGACUUUGAAAUGGUUCGGGAUAGAAUCAAAGAAUUAUUAAAAAAUUACAUGAAAGAUUGAUUUCCAGUCAACAGAAUGGAUAGAUAAAAGGUUUUGACAUCACCUUUAAUUUAAUCAAGGAACCGAACCUAUCAUCAAAAAUUAAAAAAGAAUAUGUUGGUAUGAUAGAAAAACUGCUUGAAUGAUGUUGUGAUUUCAUUGUUCUUCAUUACAGAUUACUAUUUUUGUUUAAAAAAAUUCUGAUUCACGGCAUGUAGAUUGCUCGAUAAUGCAAUGGUUGUUUAUGAUAUUGUUAUCUUUUAUUUAUAUUUUUAAUAUUUUAUUGUAAUGAGUCCGUUUGCUUAGCUCAAUGGGGAGAGCAUUGCUUCCAUCCUCUGGCUAGGCGAAAUUUCUUAGCAAUUGAUCUCGAGACAUUGAGUCUAAUGGUCAUUUGUCUCUCAUUGCUGAGUCAGAAACUCGUGGAAUAAGUACUCACAAAGGGAAAUAUUUGUAAUUCCUGGUUAGUUAUCCAGGAAAGCCGGAUAGGGGGAUAUCAUCAAAAAUAAUAAUGUAUCAAAAUUGGCCAAAAAAAACCCAUACAAACAAACUUUCACUAUUGUAAUCACAUGUUUCUUUUCUGUACAUCUUUCCUUCCAGCCGAAGGCCAAAAUUUUGAUACUUUUAUAGCCAGCUUGGAUAGAGUGGCUUUACUUUGGACCUGAUGUAAUUAUAAUCUAAUUUUGUUAAACCUUACCUACACGUACCUGAAGCUGUAAGUGAUUAACCUUUGUCACCAGUAUAGGGCUAGGCCAGCCUGCACAUCAACACAGUCUGGUCAGGCGCAAUACUGUUGUCUGACAAGCUUCAAUUAUUUUUUCUUGAUAUACCCAAAAAUGUAUAAUAGUCAAUAACUCAAACGGAAGCUGGUAAUGUCCAUUUAAGAAAUUCAGGAGGUUAAUGGUAAAGUUUGAAUGAUGCCAAAAAAAAUUUAAAAAUAAACCAUAUCACUUCAUGAUGUCUAAGAUUAUGAAUAAUAAGUGAAUUAGAGAAUUUAGAAAAUAUAUGUAUUUAGUGUGUACAUUUGCAUGAAUUGUAAGUUAUAAAGAUACAUGUGCUUUCUAAGUGACCUUAAAAGGUUCCAAUUUUACUAUGUAUGUAUGUAUGUAUGUAUGUAUGUAUGUAU